rnacentral:rRNA from 1 species
GACGGAGGGUGCAUGCGUUGUUCGGAAUUACUGGGCGUAAAGGGCGCGUAGGCGGUCUGUUAAGUUCGGUGUGAAAGCCCCCGGCUCACCUGGGGAACUGCGCCGGAAACCGACAGACUCGAGUACCGGAGAGGAGGGUGGAAUUCCUGGUGUAGCGGUGAAAUGCGUAGAUAUCAGGAGGAACACCGGUGGCGAAGGCGGCCCUCUGGACGGAUACUGACGCUGAGGCGCGAAAGCGUGGGGAUCAAACAGG